AGGGCAAACCGGGGAGCUACGGCUCUCCGGGGUUGAGGACUGCAUUUAGUCUUAAUGGUCUAUCCGAACUACCUGGAAAGGUAGGCAACACAGUGUAAAAGCCACGUAGGUUAAAGACCGGAGAGAUGAGCAGUAUCCAGAGUACCACGAGGCACGAGGAAUCUUGUGGGAAGCCGGGGGGACCACCCUCCAACCCUAAACACUGAAUGGCGACCGAUAGCGCAUAGUACCGUGAGGGAAAGGUGAAAAGAACCCCGGGAGGGGAGUGAAAGAGAACCUGAAACCGUAUGUCUACAAGCAGUCGGAGCGAAAGCGACGGCGUGCCUAUUGAAGAAUGAACCAACGAGUUACGUGCACUAGCGAGGUUAAGUGGAAGACACGGAGCCGAAGCGAAAGCGAGUCUUAAGAGGGCGGAUAGUUAGUGUACGUAGACCCGAAACCGCAGUGAUCUACCCAUGUCCAGGUUGAAGCGCAGGUAAAAUUGCGUGGAGGACCGAACCUGUGAGCGUUGAAAAGCUUUAGGAUGAGAUGUGGGUAGAGGUGAAAUUCCAAUCGAACGCGGAGAUAGCUGGUUCUCCCCGAAAUAGCUUUAGGGCUAGCCUCAAGUAGUAAGUAUAGGCGGUAGAGCACUGAUCGGGCUAGGGGCCAUAAAGGUUACCGAACCCUGUCAAACUCCGAAUGGUUAUACUGUAGAGCUUGGGAGUCAGACUACGAGUGAUAAGAUCCGUGGUCAAAAGGGAAACAGCCCAGACCACCAGCUAAGGUCCCCAAUGUCGUACUAAGUGGAAAAGGAUGUGGGGUCUCUAAAACAACCAGGAUGUUGGCUUAGAAGCAGCCACCAUUUAAAGAGUGCGUAAUAGCUCACUGGUCGAGAGACCCUGCGCCGAAGAUUACCGGGGCUAAAGUACGAAACCGAAGCUGUGGCUACGACGUAAGUCGUGGGGUAGGGGAGCGUUCUGUGAGGGCUGAAGUCGUUCUGUAAGGAACGGUGGACUUCACAGAAGUGAGAAUGUUGGUAUGAGUAGCGAAAAGAAUGGUGAGAAUCCAUUCCACCGAAAGCAUAAGGAUUCCUGGGCAACGAUCGUCGUCCCAGGGUAAGUCGGGACCUAAUCCGAGGCAUGGAGCGUAGGAGAUGGACAACUGGCAGAUAUUCCAGUACCGGUAAUGAUUGUUUGAGCGAUGGAGUGACACAGGAGGGCAGGCAGGCAGGAGAUUGGUUGUUCCUGUACAAGCGUGUAGGGUGGAACGUAGGCAAAUCCGCGUUCCGUGAGCCUGAGGCGUGAUGUGGAGGUUCCGGAAACGGAACCGAAGCUGCUGACCCCACACUGUCGAGAAAAGCUUCUAGUUAGAGAAUUACCGCCCGUACCGUAAACCGACACAGGUAUGCGGGGAGAGAAUCCUAAGGUGCGCGGGAGAACCCUCGUUAAGGAACUCGGCAAAAUGUACCCGUAACUUCGGGAUAAGGGUAGCCGCUGUUGUGAAGUCUGAACAGACGGAGCAUGAGGCGGUCGCAGAGAAGAGGCCCAAGCGACUGUUUACCACAAACACAGGUGCCUGCUAAAGAGAAAUCUGACGUAUAGGUGCUGACACCUGCCCAGUGCCGGAAGGUUAAGGAAGGAUGUCCGGAGCAAUCCAAAGCAUUCGACCGAAGCCCCGGUGAACGGCGGCCGUAACUAUAACGGUCCUAAGGUAGCGAAAUUCCUUGUCGGGUAAGUUCCGACCCGCACGAAAGGUGUAACGAUUUGGGCACUGUCUCAACGAGGGACCCGGUGAAAUUGAAGUACCUGUGAAGAUGCAGGUUACCCGCGACUGGACAGAAAGACCCCAUGGAGCUUUACUGUAACCUGACAUUGGGUUCUGAUACAUCACGUACAGGAUAGGUGGGAGGCAUGGAAGCGAGGACGCUAGUCUUCGUGGAGCCGCCGUUGGGAUACCACCCUUGAUGUAUCGGAAUUCUAACCGUAGGAGUAACGAAACUCGGGACAGUGUCAGGCGGGCAGUUUGACUGGGGCGGUCGCCUCCCAAAGAGUAACGGAGGCGCCCAAAGGUUCCCUCAGCGCGGCCGGAAAUCGCGCGAAGAGUGUAAAGGCAGAAGGGAGCUUGACUGAGAGCCAAACACGGCGAUCAGGUACGAAAGUAGGGCUUAGUGAUCCGGUGGCAUCCAAGUGGAAGGGCCAUCGCUCAACGGAUAAAAGCUACCCUGG
rnacentral:rRNA from 1 species